UACGGGGGGAGCAAGCGUUGUUCGGAUUUACUGGGCGUAAAGAGCGCGCAGGCGGUCGUCCAAGUCGCGUGUGAAAGCCCCCGGCUCAACCGGGGAGGGUCACGCGAUACUGGUCGACUCGAAGGCAGGAGAGGGUAGUGGAAUUCCCGGUGUAGUGGUGAAAUGCGUAGAUAUCGGGAGGAACACCAGUGGCGAAGGCGACUACCUGGCCUGUUCUUGACGCUGAGGCGCGAAAGCUAGGGGAGCAAACGGG
rnacentral:rRNA from 1 species